GACGAAGGGGGCAAGCGUUGUCCGGAAUCAUUGGGCGUAAAGAGCGUGUAGGCGGCUUGGCAAGUCUCGCGUGAAAUCCUGCGGCUCAACCGCAGGCGGUCGCGGGAAACUGCCUCGCUAGAGUCCGGAAGAGGAGAGUGGAAUUCCUGGUGUAGCGGUGGAAUGCGCAGAUAUCAGGAAGAACACCCGUGGCGAAGGCGGCUCUCUGGGACGGUACUGACGCUGAGACGCGAAAGCGUGGGGAGCGAACAGG
rnacentral:rRNA from 1 species